rnacentral:rRNA from 1 species
CCUACGGGUGGCUGCAGUGGGGAAUAUUGCACAAUGGGCGCAAGCCUGAUGCAGCCAUGCCGCGUGUGUGAAGAAGGCCUUCGGGUUGUAAAGCACUUUCAGCGGGGAGGAAGGCGGUGAGGUUAAUAACCUCAUCGAUUGACGUUACCCGCAGAAGAAGCACCGGCUAACUCCGUGCCAGCAGCCGCGGUAAUACGGAGGGUGCAAGCGUUAAUCGGAAUUACUGGGCGUAAAGCGCACGCAGGCGGUCUGUCAAGUCGGAUGUGAAAUCCCCGGGCUCAACCUGGGAACUGCAUUCGAAACUGGCAGGCUAGAGUCUUGUAGAGGGGGGUAGAAUUCCAGGUGUAGCGGUGAAAUGCGUAGAGAUCUGGAGGAAUACCGGUGGCGAAGGCGGCCCCCUGGACAAAGACUGACGCUCAGGUGCGAAAGCGUGGGGAGCAAACAGGAUCAGAUACCCCGGUAGUC